UUUAGUACACAAAGUAAUAAUUAAAGAAAUAUAGUGUCUCAAUAUUAAUUUACUAAACCAUUUCAGGAACAUGAGAAUAUGAUUUCUUUCAUUUGUAAGACAAUUUAAAUUGCUAGAAAACAUCUCUUUAAGGUACUUUUUUUUUUUUUUUUCUAUACUGGUUGUUGUCAGUGGUGUAACAACAUGUAAGGGAACUGUCUCAGGGUCUCUUAAAGUUGGCAUUUCAUAUUUUAUUAUAAUUGAAGGAAUCAAAAUAUUUUGAAACACUGGAAAAUUUUUAAUGAGGUGGAGUUAAAAAAAAAACGUUUUGUCACUGUUUUGUUGUUACUGGGGCAUGGAAGAUAAGAAAAAAAAUUGUCAAAAAUCACAAUAACUGUACCACUAAUGUUUUCACUCAUACAAGAUAGUUAUAAGUAUUAGAUUUACUAUUCCUGAUGUUCCCUGGCUAUCUGCUGUGUCCAUCGAGAGGAAUCAAACCCUUAAUUUUAGUGUUGUAAAUCCAAAGACUUACCACAGGUCCACCGGGGAAUAAAUCAAUUGGAAGUUUAUGAUUAUUUGUAGUUGACAGAGCACAGAUAGCCCAUUCUGUAGCUUUGUAUUUAACUUAAAACAACAACAACAAAAAUAUUAAAAAGCUUUUACAUUAAAAAUUGAUCAUUUAUUAUUUCCAAUUUAAAAUAUCAUGAAUAAAAUCCUUUUCUGUUAAAAAAAAUAAUAGAACUACAACAAUUACCUUUGUUAUAUCAAUAAAACUUGGAAAGUGAAAAAUGCAUAGCAAGAUUCAUAAAGAACAGUAAAAAUAAUAUUACAUGUUAUUUUGGUGGAGCUUAAGGCAAAGUAGUUUUGGGAACUUUAACGAACUGCAAUUGCCCGUUUUUUUU